UUUACCGUGGACCCAUCGACCGAUCCCAUCUAAUGUAUGGAUCCACUCACAGGAUUCACGAUCCAGUAUCUACCCACACGCCUUGACCUAAACAUUGCGACAAGAACCACACGUGUCCCAUGGUUCUAUGCUUUAUCAUGUUGUUUUUCUGAUGCGAUGUUCAUCACUAGUUGACCUUUUUUGUUACUCUCAUUUUAGACUUUCCUUUUUCCGGCUAGUUUUAACGUUGAGAUGCAUACAAACUUUUCGCGUGAUUACGUCAAUUCAAGUG